rnacentral:rRNA from 1 species
CACGUAGGGCGCAAGCGUUGUCCGGAAUUAUUGGGCGUAAAGAGCUCGUAGGCGGUCUGUUGCGUCCGCUGUGAAAACUCGGGGCUUAACCCCGAGCCUGCAGUGGAUACGGGCAGACUAGAGGUAGGUAGGGGAGAAUGGAAUUCCCGGUGUAGCGGUGAAAUGCGCAGAUAUCGGGAGGAACACCGGUGGCGAAGGCGGUUCUCUGGGCCUUACCUGACGCUGAG